rnacentral:rRNA from 1 species
GACGAACGCUGGCGGCGUGCCUAAUACAUGCAAGUCGAACGAGAGCGACCGGUGCUUGCACUGGUCAAUCUAGUGGCGAACGGGUGAGUAACACGUGGGUAACCUGCCCAUCAGAGGGGGAUAACAUCCGGAAACGGAUGCUAAAACCGCAUAGGUCUUCGAACCGCAUGGUUCGAAGAGGAAAAGAGGCGCAAGCUUCUGCUGAUGGAUGGACCCGCGGUGCAUUAGCUAGUUGGUGAGGUAACGGCUCACCAAGGCCGUGAUGCAUAGCCGACCUGAGAGGGUGAUCGGCCACAUUGGGACUGAGACACGGCCCAAACUCCUACGGGAGGCAGCAGUAGGGAAUCUUCCGCAAUGGACGCAAGUCUGACGGAGCAACGCCGCGUGAGUGAAGAAGGUUUUCGGAUCGUAAAACUCUGUUGUUAGUGAAGAACAAGUGCUAGAGUAACUGUUAGCGCCUUGACGGUAUCUAACCAGAAAGCCACGGCUAACUACGUG